UCGGAUCAGGUAGGGAUACCCGCUGAACUUAAGCAUAUCAAUAAGCGGAGGAAAAGAAACUAACAAGGAUUCCCCUAGUAACGGCGAGUGAAGCGGGAAGAGCUCAAAUUUGUAAUCUGGCGCUUUCAGCGUCCGAGUUGUAAUCUCUAGAAAUGUUUUCCGCGUUGGACCGCACACAAGUCUGUUGGAAUACAGCGGCACAGUGGUGAGACCCCCGUUCAUGG
rnacentral:rRNA from 1 species